rnacentral:rRNA from 1 species
UACGUAGGGGGCGAGCGUUGUCCGGAUUUAUUGGGCGUAAAGAGCUCGUAGGCGGUUUGGUAAGUUGGAUGUGAAAUCUCCAGGCUCAACUUGGAGGGGUCAUUCGAUACUGCCAUGACUAGAGUUCGGUAGGGGAGUGUGGAAUUCCUGGUGGAGCGGUGAAAUGCGCAGAUAUCAGGAGGAACACCCGUAGCGAAGGCGGCUCUCUGGGCCGGAACUGACGCUGAGGAGCGAAAGCGUGGGGAGCGAACAGG